UGACCCCACCUGUGUACUCCGUAUCCAGAUCAGGACGCAGAAGGUGAUCAGCAUGCAAGAAACUAGCCGAGCUCAGUCCCAACCCUGUCCUGCCCACCCACCCACUAUGGAUCACCUCUCAAAUAAACCCCUUGCCUUUGGAUCCUCUUCUGGGAGUCUUUUUCUGAUGGAAACCAAAAUAGGGAGCAAACCCGCCUGAGAAUGAAGCCAACACAAAAAGUUAAAAAUCCGAGGGACAGAGUUUCUUAAUAAUAUCACAGGUGCAUCUGGAUCCGGACAAGCCUGAAGCCACAAACUCCUGGACUUUUCGGGCUGGGUGAAGGAGGGAGCGGAACUGGAGCUAUCCCAGCAUCAGGUGCAAAAGAAAUGCAGGAAGGAUUCCUGCUGGGGAGGAAGAAGGCGCU